rnacentral:rRNA from 1 species
GACGAACGCUGGCGGUGUGCUUAACACAUGCAAGUCGAACGGUAAGGCCCUUUCGGGGGUACACGAGUGGCGAACGGGUGAGUAACACGUGAGUAACCUGCCCUCAUCUCUGGGAUAACAGUCGGAAACGGUUGCUAAUACUGGAUAUGAGCUUGCAAGGCAUCUUGUGGGUUGGAAAGAUUUUUUUUGGUUGGGGAUGGACUCGCGGCCUAUCAGCUUGUUGGUGAGGUAGUGGCUCACCAAGGCUUCGACGGGUAGCCGGCCUGAGAGGGCGACCGGCCACAUUGGGGCUGAGAUACGGCCCAAACUCCUACGGGGGGCAGCAGUGGGGAAUAUUGCACAAUGGACGGAAGUCUGAUGCAGCAACGCCGCGUGCGGGAUGACGGCCUUCGGGUUGUAAACCGCUUUCAAUUGUGACGAAGCUUUUUUGUGACGGUAGCAGUAGAAGAAGCACCGGCUAACUACGUG